ACUCCUACGGGAGGCAGCAGUGGGGAAUAUUGCACAAUGGGCGCAAGCCUGAUGCAGCCAUGCCGCGUGUGUGAAGAAGGCCUUCGGGUUGUAAAGCACUUUCAGUCGUGAGGAAGGUAGUGUAGUUAAUAGCUGCAUUAUUUGACGUUAGCGACAGAAGAAGCACCGGCUAACUCCGUGCCAGCAGCCGCGGUAAUACGGAGGGUGCGAGCGUUAAUCGGAAUUACUGGGCGUAAAGCGCAUGCAGGUGGUUUGUUAAGUCAGAUGUGAAAGCCCGGGGCUCAACCUCGGAAUAGCAUUUGAAACUGGCAGACUAGAGUACUGUAGAGGGGGUAGAAUUUCAGGUGUAGCGGUGAAAUGCGUAGAGAUCGUGAAGGAACUACCGGUGGCGAAAGGCGGCCCCCUGGACAGAUACUGACACUCAGAUGCGAAAGCGUGGGAGCAAACAGGAUUAGAUACCCC
rnacentral:rRNA from 1 species